rnacentral:rRNA from 1 species
CUACGGGGUGCACCAGUGGGGAAUAUUGGACAAUGGGGGAAACCCUGAUCCAGCAAUGCCGCGUGUGUGAAGAAGGCCUGCGGGUUGUAAAGCACUUUCGGUUGGGAGGACUGCUUCUAGCACUAAUAUUGUUGGAAGUUGACGUUACCUUCAGAAGAAGCACCGGCUAACUCCGUGCCAGCAGCCGCGGUAAUACGGAGAGUGCAAGCGUUAAUCGGAAUUACUGGGCGUAACGCGCGCGUAGGCGGCUAGAUCAGUCGGGUGUGAAAGCCCCGGGCUUAACCUGGGAACUGCAUCCGAUACUGUCUAGCUUGAGUACAGGAGAGGAGAGUGGAAUUCCACAUGUAGCGGUGAAAUGCGUAGAUAUGUGGAGGAACACCAAUGGCGAAGGCAGCUCUCUGGCCUGAUACUGACGCUGAGGUGCGAAAGCGUGGGGAGCAAACAGGAUUAGAUACCCUAGUAGUC